rnacentral:rRNA from 1 species
GUGGGGAAUCUUCCGCAAUGGACGAAAGUCUGACGGAGCAACGCCGCGUGAGUGAAGAAGGUUUUCGGAUCGUAAAGCUCUUUCGUUAGGGACGAACGUGCUCUUUGUGAAUAAUGAGGAGUAAUGACGGUACCUAAAUAAGAAGCCACGGCUAACUACGUGCCAGCAGCCGCGGUAAUACGUAGGUGGCAAGCGUUGUCCGGAAUUAUUGGGCGUAAAGCGCGCGCAGGCGGGAUAUCAAGUCUGUCUUAAAAGUGCGAGGCUCAACCUCGUGGGGGGACAGAAACUGGUAUUCUUGAGUGUCGGAGAGGAAAGUGGAAUUCCAAGUGUAGCGGUGAAAUGCGUAGAGAUUUGGAAGAACACCAGUGGCGAAGGCGACUUUCUGGACGAUGUCUGACGCUGAGGCGCGAAAGCUAGGGGAGCGAACGGGAUUAGAUACCCCGGUAGUCC